rnacentral:tRNA from 1 species
GCCUGGGUGGCUCAGUUGGUUGAGCGUCUGACUUCGGCUCAGGUCAUGAUCUCGCGGUCUGUGGGUUCGAGCCCCGCGUCGGGCU